AUACGGAGGGUGCAAGCGUUAUCCGGAAUCAUUGGGUUUAAAGGGUCCGGAGGCGGACUGAUAAGUCAGUGGUGAAAUCCCGUAGCUUAACUACGGAACUGCCAUUGAAACUGUCAGUCUUGAAUUCGGUCGAAGUGGGCGGAAUGUGUCAUGUAGCGGUGAAAUGCAUAGAUAUGACACAGAACACCGAUAGCGAAGGCAGCUCACUAGGCCUGAAUUGACGCUCAGGGACGAAAGCGUGGGGAGCGAACAGAAUUAGAAACCCUAGUAGUCC
rnacentral:rRNA from 1 species